AUUGAACGCUGGCGGCAGGCCUAACACAUGCAAGUCGAACGAUCGGCGCACGGGUGAGUAUUGUAUGGGGUCUGCUGCAUUGCGGAGGGUAACUACUGGUAACAACGGCUAAUACCGCCUCCUAUCUGAUAACCGAUAUGGGAUUAGCGAGUAGGUGGGGUAAUGGCUCACCUAGGCGACGAUCCCUAGCUGGUCUGAGAGGAUGAUCAGCCACACUGGGACUGAGACACGGCCCAGACUCCUACGGAGGCAGCAGUAGGGAAGAUUCAGCAAUGGGCGCAAGCCUGAUGCAGCAAUGCCGCGUGUAUGAAGAAGGCCUUAGGGUUGUAAAGUACUGUUGGUAGGGAGGCGUUACCGACAGAGGAAGCAACGGCUAACUACGUGCCAGCAGCCGCGGUAAUUC
rnacentral:rRNA from 1 species